AGUCGGAAUUGCUAGUAAUCGCGGAUCAGCAUGCCGCGGUGAAUACGUUCCCGGGCCUUGUACACACCGCCCGUCACACCAUGGGAGUCGGUAACACCCGAAGCCGAUAGUCUAACGAAAGAGGACGUCGUCGAAGGUGGGAUUGAUGACUGGGGUGAAGUCGUAACAAGGUACC
rnacentral:rRNA from 1 species